GGGACUUCACUGCGGCCGGGGAUUGGCUGAGCGCAGUAUGAUUCAUCAGACCACCAGCAACCAGGAAGAGGAUCGUGGCGGAGAACGGAGUCGGUUACCGGAGGUCCCGGGGGAGCGAAGCAAGCUCUGAUCAUCACCUCAAUUAUCCGCUGUCCGGCCUACCUGAUAGGUUUUUGCCAACUAUAAGUCUUCUGUCGAUGAACACAGAAUAAUGACAGCGAGGGCAAAUGGACAGAAUACCAAACAGACAGCGAAAUGAAAUCUACAUUGAGAGGCUUCUUUCACACUACAACAUUCUCCGUUUUUAAACCUCCGUAUGAUGUUCCGUUCUGUGCACUGUGCAGUUCCCGAGACAGACAAAGGUGUCAGCAGAGAGCACUGUUGCCA